rnacentral:rRNA from 1 species
GUCUACGGCCAUACCACCCUGAACGCGCCCGAUCUUGUCUGAUCUCGGAAGCUAAGCAGGGUCGGGCCUGGUUAGUACUUGGAUGGGAGAACUAGACAGGUGCAACUUGCCAGCGGUACUGC